GCGAGCCGGAGCCGGAGAAGGAGGAGCAGAUGCUGCCGCGGCUCGCUGGCUGGCUGGCUGGCAGCAAGGGACCGAGGGGAAAUUCUGGUGCUCAGGCGAGCCGCAGACAAAGGGCGCACCAGCUGUCUCCUGAGAAGACAAAGUGUGACACAGAUUCCAGCGGCUUGGAGUGACAGUCAACCAUCAAAGGCCACCCAUUUGCACUCACAUAAAGGACUGCAUUGUCCUGGGGAAUUACUGGAGGUGCAGCUGUAUUCUUCUUCCCUGGAUCCCUGCAGACUUUCAGGUAAGUAUAAACCCACCUCCCCAGCAAUAAUAAAUGAUACCUUCUCCCCUGCAACCCCAGGAUCAGUGAUUACUAAGGAAUUGUAAAGACUCUCACAAGAACUGUGUUCUGUUUCCAAGGGGACAAACCACCUAACCUAUUGGGAGAUGCAUUGCCAAUAAGACCUUGAGAGAGGCACAUACUUGACACAUUGUGAAAAUGAAUGGAAUGUGGACAAGUGGAGAGAUGUGGAAACAGGAGUGGGAGGAUGUGCUUUGAGACACCCCCCACCCUGCUGAUACAGCAAAGACAAAAUUACCUAUUUGGGGGAGUAUUUAAGUUCUUUCCUUUAAUAUCACGACUUGUCAUUUUUACUCAGACUUUGUGUGAAAGACAGACAGUAUCAAGCUAAUACAGACUCAACAGCAUCAACACAGCAGCAGGAAGUGAGGCUUCAUUAGCUACUAAGCAAGGUAAAAGAUGCUCUGAAUUCUGUUGGCUCAGUUACAGUGUAAAUCAUACCUUAAAUUAUAGAUGAGCAGCUGUAGGAGGUAUCCUGAAAGGCUGGCUGUGUCCCACUGGGACAAAGGGGAGAAUGGCUUGAGAUGGCAAUGAGAGGGAUAGCAAGACACAAACCGCUCUUCUGGCUCCUUACCGUCUGGCAUUCUCAGGCCUAUACAAAAGAAAAAGCAUCUCCAACACAGAAUACCAUUCAAGAAGUCAUGAGAAGAGGAGCAUAUCUGGAAAGCAAAAGCAUCCUGUGCUGAACCAGCAGGAAAGAUCCUCCUCCGUUUCCAAACAGCAGUCUACACUGAAGCAUGACAAAAGGGGAAGGGAUGAAGAAUUGGUGUAGGUGUAAUUAUUUGGGGGUGUGAUGCAUUGCAUUGUAUCAUCUCUGCCAUGAUCUUUCAUACAGCAAGCAAGAAAAAGUGAGGGAGGGAGGGGAGAUAAAUGUCAAUGAAGCUAUAAGAUGCCAUUGUUCAUGUGCGUCAGCUGCCAGCAUUCUUCACUUCUUGAAGUGACUAUUUGAAGGCCAUCUUGCCAGGACUAUUUGCCCCAGAAUGCCACUGUUGAGUAAGUCUCUUUCAGAGUCUGCUCUUUGCCACCACUGUACCAUUCACAUCAUCUCCGUUAUGCUCCUGCAAGCACUAUGCUGCUGUUUUUCUCAUUCAUACCUUUGUGUCCUCAAAGCUUGACUACAUGGGGCUUAGCUGCAAAGUAUGAAGACUUUGGGGCAGGAGCUGCAGGAUGUGCAGCAUGCAGUGGCUGAUCUUUUGGCUUCCAAGAGCUCAUGACAGCAAUGCUACACUUUAAAAUUGCUUCAGCCCUUUGUGACCUAGGCAUGUCUUCCUUUUCCUGGUCUUACAAUUAUUCCCAAAGAUGGACUCAGAACUCCCUUUUCAUAACAACAAGUUUAGCACAAGGUUAAGCUCAGACUCACUCUGAAUUUUGAAUAUUGAAUUUUGAAUAUUGAAAUAUUGAAUUUUGAAUAUUGAAAAUUCUGAAUAAUUUUAAAUAUUGAAUAUUAAAAUGUUGUGUGUAUGUGUUUUCAAAUUGCCAGUGACUAGAAACAUAUUCAUAUAUGUCAUGCUAUCUUAAUGGGGUGAAAGGGAGCGUUUCCAGUAGAUCCUGUCCAUUUUUGCAAGUUUUAUUGAUUGUAUGGUACCCGCAGAUGCAAAAGGAAAGAAGGAAUGGCCCCAAGUUGCACAGCUCUGCUAUAAGAUUUUGUCCAUGUGCCAUAAGAACAGCCCUGCUCGAUCAGGCCCAAGGCCCAUCUAGUCCGGCAUCCUGUUUCACAUAGUGGCCCACCAAAUACCUCUGGGAAGCCCACAGGCAAGAGGCGAGGGCAUGCCCUCUCUCCUGCUGUGGCUCCCUUGCAACUGGUAUUGAGAGGCAUCAUACUUCUGAGGCUGGACAUGGUCCACAAACACCCGACUAUUAGCCAUUGAUAGACCUGUCCUCUUUAAACUUAAUCCUCAGAUUAAGCCUACAAUUCCAAACAUACUUACUAGGAAACAAGCUCCACUGAACAUAAUUGGACUUACUUGUGUGUAAACAUGCAUAGGAUUGUGUUGCAAGUGUUUAUACAACAUAUGACCAUUUGCUGAAUUCAGAAUAGGCUGCUUUGUAUAGUUAUGUGAUGGCUUAACAAUAAGACAUGAUAGCAUUUAUGUUUAAUAUUUCUUUUCAUUUUUGUGAAAUUAAAGCAUUAUUAAAAUAUACUUUAAGAA